rnacentral:rRNA from 1 species
AUUGAACGCUGGCGGCAGGCCUAACACAUGCAAGUCGAGCGAGCGGCGGACGGGUGAGUAAUGUCUGGGAACCUGCCUGAUGGAGGGGGAUAACUACUGGAAACGGUAGCUACUACCGCAUACCAUCAGAUGUGCCCAGAUGGGAUUGGCUAGUAGGUGGGGUAACGGCGCACCUGGGCGACGAUCCCUCGCUGGUCUGAGAGGAUGACCAGCCACACUGGAACGGAGAAACGGUCCAGACUCCUAGGGGAGGCAGCAGUGGGGAAUAUUGCACAAUGGGCGCAAGCCUGAUGAAGCCAGGCCGGGUGUGUGAAGAAGGCCUUCGGGUUGUAAAGCACUUUCAGCGGGGAGGCGUUACCCGCAGAAGAAGCAACGGCUAACUCCGUGCCAGCAGCCGCGGUAAUAC